CCAAAGUUUAUUCUCCCUGACCUGCUGGGCAACUCUUAUCAGAAACCAGAAGCUCCACCACCUGGUCUUCACAACUCAACAGCUCAGUCAUCUCCAUGAUGGCAAUCGUAGACGGAUCCAACUCCCUCAUAUUCGUAAACGCCAAACGAGACCUUAAACUACAAAAGAUAAAUGAAAACCACAGAAGACUGAAACCCUAACCUGAACCCGUAAUUAAAGACAUAUCCCCCAUGAACUCAUUGCGAAUUCACAAUUUGCAAAUUCAUUAGAUCGAAUUCUCAACUCUUUCAAUUCUAAAAGCUCUCUUUUGGCCCCGCUUAUCGCUCCAAGAAAAUGUCGAAUCUAUACACUACUAUUCUGUUCGGCGACUGCGAUGAAUUUGAGUCUUUUUUGGCAGAAGAAGUUGAGGGUUUCGUGCGGCAACUAGCAAGUCACCAGCCGUCACAUGAUUUGCGCUUUCCGUUGAUGGUUUUGAUGGGCGAUUACGAUGAUGCCUCGACGAUGGAGGAGUUAGCAACUGAUGAAGAUGAUCCACAAACACAGCCUGCGAGUGCCGAGUUCGUCGAAAAGCUGGAGACGGUCAGAAUCCAAGAAUCGGGUUUGGAUUGUUCGAUUUGCUUGGAGCAAUUGUCGAUAGGAUCGGAAGGUAAGAAGUUGCCGUGCUCGCAUCUCUACCAUGGCAAAUGCAUCGACGAGUGGCUGAAGAAAAGCAAGACAUGCCCUCUUUGUCGAGCUCACUGAUCGAUCGCUGGAAAGAUUGAUUGGAUGGUUACUGCACCUGCUGGAUUCCAGGCGAAGCAAACUAUUCAGAUGCCAAGAAUAUCAUUUGGGCAAUUAGCAACAGGGGGAGAAGGACCAUUUUAUUUUCAGUAGAAUUUGAGAACUACGAGGACCUGAUCCUCCAUUAUUUAUUGUAAGGGGGUACGUAGGCAGCUUUCUAGUGCGGUCCAAACAAUGUAAAAUAAAAUUCCCUUGGAAUCACUGUCAGUAUCCUUAAAAAGGGAGAAAUUUUUGUCUUUGCAGCAGAAUUUUCUGGUUGAGCAUAUUGCUUCUAAUUAAGUUACUUUUCACUUCUGAUACUCUGACUUUUGCCGAGCUGUACCCGUAUCGACAUGAUAUUUUAUGGGAUACAACAUGGAAGGCGUAUAUUUGUGCA